AUUGAACGCUGGCGGCGUGCUUAACACAUGCAAGUCGAUCGGUAACGCGGGGGCAACCCUGGCGACGAGAGGCGGACGGGUGAGUAACGCUUGGGAAUCUGCCCAUCAGCGGGGGACAACCCGGGGAAACCCGGGCUAAUACCGCAUACGCUCCACGGAGGAAAGCAGGGGACCGCAAGGCCUUGCACUGAUGGAUGAGCCCAAGCCGGAUUAGCUAGUUGGCGGGGUAACGGCCCACCAAGGCGACGAUCCGUAGCUGGUCUGAGAGGACGAUCAGCCACACCGGAACUGAGACACGGUCCGGACUCCUACGGGAGGCAGCAGUGGGGAAUAUUGGACAAUGGGGGAAACCCUGAUCCAGCGACGCCGCGUGGGUGAAGAAGGCCUGCGGGUUGUAAAGCCCUUUCGGUAGGGACGAAAGCUCUCGACCUAACACGUCGGGAGGUUGACUUAACCUACAAAAGAAGCACCGGCUAACUC
rnacentral:rRNA from 1 species